GUCAGACCAUAGAUUCAUAUAGAAGACAGCGCGCUAGCGUAUCUAGUCUAUGUAUAUCUAUGGUCGGCACGUCUGGUAGCAUCUCUGGCUGCUGUUGAUCUUGUUUUUGGAGUAAAACACGGUGGAAGCUGAAUUAGUGAGGAUGACUCCUGCUCCUGUCAUCUCUAAGCUCCUCACACAUCUUUACCUGCACAUGAGGAAAAUCACUCCUGUAGAAUGCAGAUGUUCAGAGGGAGAUGAUGCCACAUCUGGUCCAGCUGAUGGAAGGUCUUGAAGUUCUCUGACUGGCCUCAACUGAAGAUGGUCGUCUCACUGGAUUUAAGGUUCAGAUGCUCAGUAACAAACUCCACCAAUGUACCAACAGGGAAGCUUUAGGUUUAUUAAAUGUUGCUAUGAAGGUUUCGCUGUUUUUCUUUGUGAAUGCAAUGUGCUCCAACUGAAACUUGAAUUAGAACUUAGAAGUAAAUCCUUCCAUCUGAAAAGAUCUAGUUGCAUUAAUAACCUCAUAACAUUCACAUUUUUAUUCCAGUUUUGGUUGGAAAUAGAAUCUCUGUAUUGAUUCAGGUAAAAACUGAACUUCACAGCAUGUUGAAGCAAAACAACCAGAUGAAAACUGUGAUGGUGUUGGAUUGUCAGACCAUAAUGUUGCAGCUCAAAGCAGCUUUUCUAUCUCAGUUCAUUCUGACAUUCAGCUAUGAAUCAACACAGCAGAUGGUGAUCCAUGCUGUGGAAGUCUCACAUCUCCUGAUUUAAUGGAGCUGCUUUGUACUUUUUACACUGUUUAUUCACCAACACUUUAUUUAAUAAAAGUCCCAUCUAGUUUUUAUGAGGAAUGUGAUGUUUUAAUUUCUCUGUGAAUAACUGCAGUCUAAUGUAACAGCUGGAGUUGUAACAUCUGUCCUGAUAUUGAUCAUGAAGUAUUGAUCAGAAUACUUAUGGUCAGCAGUCAUCCCUGAAGUUUUACAUUAAAAUCUUUACUUGUGUUGUGAACUUUGGUAAGAAUCAGAAACUUUAGUGUUGCCAUGGAUACAUGAGUGUUAAAUUCUGUCCAUGUUUCCAUUUUGGGAAAUGCAGUCCAGUUCCAGAAUGUGGAGGAAUUUAGUCUCACAAUCACAGACAACAAAUAUUAUCUGAAAGUCGGGUUAUUGUUGUUUAUCAGCACAAUACAAAAAGAUUAAUGUUAGAAAUAUUCCAGUUAAGACUCUAGAAUAUCAUGAUUUAUGUAAAUUUACCUCAAUAAUAUGAAUGUUCAGGUUAAGAUUGUGCAGUGAUAUUUAUUAUGUAAGUUUAGCUGAUUAAAGUUUAUGACUCUGCACUAAAAUAUUAUUUAAAUUGACAUCAUUAUUAUAAUAUUUAGGGUCAGACCCUACAGUAUUGAGAUUAAGAAAUCAAAUAUUCUAUAAAAUGUAAAUACACUGAACUCAUUUGGAUAUAUUUAAGUGAGACUCUACAAUAUUAUUUGACACAAAUCUAUCUAAAUCAAAAUUUUAAUAAUUUUCACGCCAAACAUUUACUGGACUGAUUUAAAUAUUAAAAUCACUCCUUUCUAAUCCUCUGCUGUACGUUCAAACCUGAGGCCUUAAAUAGAAACACACAAGUAUCUGAUUGAAGGAACUUCUGCAGAGUCCUGGUUCCAGAACAUGAUGAUAGAAUUAUAGACAAACUUUAACAAAAGCUGCCUGAGAGUUUACAGGUUUUUAUGUUGGAUUUCUUCAGUAAUUUAAUGAGAGUUAUCAGCAAAAAUCAAGUGUUCAUUUGAUGAACUUCAUUUCCUAAAACAUCCAGAAUUGGAGCUCAUAUCUUUGGCAGCUGUAAAGUUUCUGCUCCUUCAAAGUUCACAACACAAUGAAUGAAUUCCUAAAACACUCUCAAUGCUGGAGAGCGUUUGUGAUGCUGAAGCAGUGAUCAGUUUUUCUGUUUCUUCUCUGGAGAUGCACAAUGAGGGACGUCUGCAGAGACUGAGAAAGAGUCUCACCACAUCCUGACAUGAGAAAAAGACUUUAUUGAAGACUACAAUGAGAAAAACUAUCAGACAGCAGACGGCUGCAUUCAAGGUGAGCUCUGAACAUUUGAUCUGGAACAGGAAUUCAAUAACGGCAGCAUGAGCUUCAUUUCAGUCUGUAGCUGCUGAAUUCAUGGAUGAAUCAUCUGGCACUAGAGAGGAAGACCAUCAAACAUCCACGUCAGCUGAUGGAGGUCCAAGAGUCUCACCAAACAACCAACCUACAGAGUGAAGACCUCAAAUCUGAUUGGACGGCCUCCUAUUCAGCCACAUGUGUGAACAAAUGCCUCUAAGCUGAUUUGUUUUCUAAAAUAAAUCUAGUUUGAGUCCUAA